GGAAUCCGAGAAUUUCACCUCCAACAGUUAAAUACGAAUGCCCCCAACAAUCCCUAUUCACCUUUACCUUCGCCAUGACACCAACAGCAUGACGAUGGUCCGAUGCUAUUAUUCCAUGCUAACGUAUUCAAGGCAUUUGCCUGCUUGAAACACUCUCAUUUCCUCAAAGUAAACGUCCUGAGUCAUGCGGCCUCACAAUCAAGUGAAGAACGCCUUCUCAGGAAGAUGCACAAAAGGUAGCAGUAACUCACCCAGAGGGUGGACCGCUCCUUCCAUGCAGAAAUCCAACUACGAGCUUUUUAACCGCAACAACUUUAAUAUACGCUAUUGGAGCUGGAAUUACCGC
rnacentral:misc_RNA from 1 species